rnacentral:rRNA from 1 species
GUCACAUAUUACGCCGAAUACACUAGUUCUCAUCCAAUAACAGAAGUUAAGCAUCGUCGGACCGAUUAGUGCUUGAAUGGGUGAUCGCCUGGGAACCCGAGGGUACAGAUGGCA